UACGUAGGGCGCAAGCGUUGUCCGGAAUUAUUGGGCGUAAAGAGCUCGUAGGCGGUUUGUCGCGUCUGCUGUGAAAACUCGAGGCUCAACCUCGGGCUUGCAGUGGGUACGGGCAGACUAGAGUGCGGUAGGGGUGACUGGAAUUCCUGGUGUAGCGGUGAAAUGCGCAGAUAUCAGGAGGAACACCAAUGGCGAAGGCAGCUCGCUGGAACGGUACUGACGCUGAGGCGCGAAAGCGUGGGGAGCGAACAGG
rnacentral:rRNA from 1 species